CUGGGCUCUCCCUGUCUCCCGAGCGCUAGGUAUGCGUAGCUCCGCGGCAGUGGCGAGGGAGGCGGAGCCGCCCGCCGUUUAAAUAUCCACAUGCGUCUACCGACGCGACUGACGCUGCGCACGGAGAGUGGAUCCGGGCGUGGCCUCGCGUCUCGUGCUCAUCGGCACGUCCAAGGCUGCGUUCUGUUGUGACAAACCCGACGAGUUGAAGUGCUUGGGGAAAAAAAAAAAAAGCACCUGAAGUUGAAAUCGAUAAGGACCACUGCCAGCAACCGUGUUCAUUCCCCAGCCGUGUUCGUGAUGAAACUGAACCAGGCUCAAUUCAUUUCAUUUGGACCAUAUGUGCAUCCAUAUGGAGCUGAGGCUCCGCCCCCCCCCCCAGCCUGGGCGACACGCGUUGCUCGGCUGCCUGGUUACCCGGGCCCCAGUGGAGGAAUGCGCCCAACAGCUGUCACGCCCAAUCAGCAGGCCCAAGUGGAUCGAGUGACAGCUGAGGCAGCCCCGCCCCCUCUUCACCUGGAGACCGGGGAGCGGGGAGCAGACGGAGAUGUGGCAGCCGGUGCCAGUAAACAAAGCUGGAACGGGGGCUGUGCCGUUUGGGUUUUCGUGUCGCAGACCAGGGGUAACCGACCCUGUUCCUGGAGAGCUAGGCUUCCAUUUCAACCCUAAUUUGGCGCACGCCUGACUCGACUGAUUAGCGGCUCAAUGCAGAUCUCUAGCGGCUGAAUGAGGCGUGCUUCGUUCGGGCUGCUGUCAAAACCAGCGGAACCACAGGAACGGGGACGGUGACCCCCCCUGUUGUAGACAAUCAGGCAAGUGCUUUGUUUAUUCUUAAGUUAGCUAGAUCUCAGGCAGGUCCUGCUGGGCAGCUUGUAGCGUAGUAGUUGAGGUAAAUGACUGGGACACGCAAGGUUGUUGGUUCUAAUCCCGGUGUAGCCAAAAUAAGAUCUGCACAGCCGUUGGGCCCUUGAGCAAGGCCCUUAACCCUGCAUUGCUCCAGGGGAGGAUUGUCUCCUGCUUUGUCGAAUCAACUGUAUGUCGCUCUGGAUAAGAGCGUCUGCCAAAUGCCAAUAAUGUAAUGUAAUGUAAAAUAGAGAGCUG